rnacentral:rRNA from 1 species
GGGUUGUGAGGUUAAGCGACUAAGCGUACACGGUGGAUGCCCUGGCAGUCAGAGGCGAUGAAGGACGUGCUAAUCUGCGAAAAGCGUCGGUAAGGUGAUAUGAACCGUUAUAACCGGCGAUGUCCGAAUGGGGAAACCCAGUGCAAUUCGUUGCACUAUCGUUAACUGAAUACAUAGGUUAACGAGGCGAACCGGGGGAACUGAAACAUCUAAGUACCCCGAGGAAAAGAAAUCAACCGAGAUUCCCCCAGUAGCGGCGAGCGAACGGGGAGCAGCCCAGAGUCUGAAUCAGCUUGUGUGUUAGUGGAACGGUCUGGAAAGUCCGACGGUACAGGGUGAUAGUCCCGUACACCAAAAUGCACAGGCUGUGAACUCGAAGAGUAGGGCGGGACACGUGGUAUCCUGUCUGAAUAUGGGGGGACCAUCCUCCAAGGCUAAAUACUCCUGACUGACCGAUAGUGAACCAGUACCGUGAGGGAAAGGCGAAAAGAACCCCGGCGAGGGGAGUGAAAAAGAACCUGAAACCGUGUACGUACAAGCAGUGGGAGCACCUUCGGGUGUGACUGCGUACCUUUUGUAUAAUGGGUCAGCGACUUAUAUUCUGUAGCAAGGUUAACCGUAUAGGGGAGCCGCAGGGAAACCGAGUCUUAACUGGGCGUUAAGUUGCAGGGUAUAGACCCGAAACCCGGUGAUCUAGCCAUGGGCAGGUUGAAGGUUGGGUAACACUAACUGGAGGACCGAACCGACUAAUGUUGAAAAAUUAGCGGAUGACUUGUGGCUGGGGGUGAAAGGCCAAUCAAACCGGGAGAUAGCUGGUUCUCCCCGAAAGCUAUUUAGGUAGCGCCUCGUGAACUCAUCUUCGGGGGUAGAGCACUGUUUCGGCUAGGGGGUCAUCCCGACUUACCAACCCGAUGCAAACUACGAAUACCGAAGAAUGUUAUCACGGGAGACACACGGCGGGUGCUAACGUCCGUCGUGAAGAGGGAAACAACCCAGACCGCCAGCUAAGGUCCCAAAGUCAUGGUUAAGUGGGAAACGAUGUGGGAAGGCACAGACAGCCAGGAUGUUGGCUUAGAAGCAGCCAUCAUUUAAAGAAAGCGUAAUAGCUCACUGGUCGAGUCGGCCUGCGCGGAAGAUGUAACGGGGCUAAACCAUGCACCGAAGCUGCGGCAGCGACACGAUGUGUUGUUGGGUAGGGGAGCGUUCUGUAAGCCUGCGAAGGUGACCUGUGAGGGUUGCUGGAGGUAUCAGAAGUGCGAAUGCUGACAUAAGUAACGAUAAAGCGGGUGAAAAGCCCGCUCGCCGGAAGACCAAGGGUUCCUGUCCAACGUUAAUCGGGGCAGGGUGAGUCGACCCCUAAGGCGAGGCCGAAAGGCGUAGUCGAUGGGAAACAGGUUAAUAUUCCUGUACUUGGUGUUACUGCGAAGGGGGGACGGAGAAGGCUAUGUUAGCCGGGCGACGGUUGUCCCGGUUUAAGCAUGUAGGCUGAUUAUCCAGGCAAAUCCGGAUAAUCAAGGCUGAGGUGUGAUGACGAGGCACUACGGUGCUGAAGUAACAAAUGCCCUGCUUCCAGGAAAAGCCUCUAAGCAUCAGGUAACAUCAAAUCGUACCCCAAACCGACACAGGUGGUCAGGUAGAGAAUACCAAGGCGCUUGAGAGAACUCGGGUGAAGGAACUAGGCAAAAUGGUGCCGUAACUUCGGGAGAAGGCACGCUGGUGUGUAGGUGAAGUCCCUGCGGAUGGAGCUGAGACCAGUCGAAGAUACCAGCUGGCUGCAACUGUUUAUUAAAAACACAGCACUGUGCAAACACGAAAGUGGACGUAUACGGUGUGACGCCUGCCCGGUGCCGGAAGGUUAAUUGAUGGGGUUAUCCGUAAGGAGAAGCUCUUGAUCGAAGCCCCGGUAAACGGCGGCCGUAACUAUAACGGUCCUAAGGUAGCGAAAUUCCUUGUCGGGUAAGUUCCGACCUGCACGAAUGGCGUAAUGAUGGCCAGGCUGUCUCCACCCGAGACUCAGUGAAAUUGAACUCGCUGUGAAGAUGCAGUGUACCCGCGGCAAGACGGAAAGACCCCGUGAACCUUUACUAUAGCUUGACACUGAACAUUGAGCCUUGAUGUGUAGGAUAGGUGGGAGGCUUUGAAGCGUGGACGCCAGUCUGCGUGGAGCCAACCUUGAAAUACCACCCUUUAAUGUUUGAUGUUCUAACGUAGGCCCCUUAUCGGGGUUGCGGACAGUGUCUGGUGGGUAGUUUGACUGGGGCGGUCUCCUCCCAAAGCGUAACGGAGGAGCACGAA